UACGAAGGGGGCUAGCGUUGCUCGGAAUGACUGGGCGUAAAGGGUGCGUAGGCGGUUUGGUAAGUCUUGUGUGAAAUCUACAGGCUCAACUUGUAGUCUGCACGAGAAACUGCCGGGCUUGAGUGUGGGAGAGGUGAGUGGAAUUCCUGGUGUAGCGGUGAAAUGCGUAGAUAUCAGGAGGAACACCUGUGGCGAAAGCGGCUCACUGGACCAUAACUGACGCUGAUGCACGAAAGCUAGGGGAGCAAACAGG
rnacentral:rRNA from 1 species